AAAUUUUGAAAACAAAAUUUCGGUACAAUGAGUGAAGAUAGAUUUAUAAAUUUUGUAAAGUAUAUUGAAGAGAAACACCCAAAACUGACAUCGGUAGAAGUUAUAAAAGAAUGUGGUGAGAUGUGGAUGAAAUUCAAUGAAACAGAAAAACAGGAAUUUUCUACACCCGGACCGCUGGUGUCGUCGAGCAGUGAAGACAUUGUGGAUAGUAUCUACUCAAUUUUAAAAGAUAAUACACCGAAAAUUGGAAGGAAACGCAAAGCAGCGAAACGGAAGAGGGUAGUUAACAAGCGUCGGGCAAAGAAAAACAAGGUAGGCCGUCGUGGAGGACGUGCUAAAAAACAGGGUAAAAAGGGUAGAAGGAUUCGCGGAAAAUAAUAUUGCACUACAAAGGCCGUCAAUGAAAAUCUCAUGUUUGACAGCAAUCAAUAAUGUUCUGGACUUCUUUAAUAUUCUCACGGUGACGGUAUCAAACAUAUAGAUGAAUGGAUUAUUGGCAUAUAGUACGACUUAAGGACAAGACAUAACGACAGGACGCGUGAGAGAUAUUCUAAAUUUGUGGUUAUAUUUUCGGAUCUAACUUUUCUUUAUGAGUAUUCAUCAAAAUUUUUACAGAUAGUAUGAAAAGUAUAUUU